rnacentral:rRNA from 1 species
CAGUCGAACGAAGCACUCUAUUUGAUUUUCUUCGGAAAUGAAGAUUUUGUGACUGAGUGGCGGACGGGUGAGUAACGCGUGGGUAACCUGCCUCAUACAGGGGGAUAACAGUUGGAAACGACUGCUAAUACCGCAUAAGCGCACAGGAUCGCAUGGUCCGGUGUGAAAAACUCCGGUGGUAUGGGAUGGACCCGCGUCUGAUUAGCCAGUUGGCAGGGUAACGGCCUACCAAAGCGACGAUCAGUAGCCGACCUGAGAGGGUGACCGGCCACAUUGGGACUGAGACACGGCCCAAACUCCUACGGGAGGCAGCAGUGGGGAAUAUUGCACAAUGGGGGAAACCCUGAUGCAGCGACGCCGCGUGAGCGAAGAAGUAUUUCGGUAUGUAAAGCUCUAUCAGCAGGGAAGAAGAAUGACGGUACCUGACUAAGAAGCACCGGCUAAAUACGUGCCAGCAGCCGCGGUAAUACGUAUGGUGCAAGCGUUAUCCGGAUUUACUGGGUGUAAAGGGAGCGCAGGCGGUGCGGCAAGUCUGAUGUGAAAGCCCGGGGCUCAACCCCGGUACUGCAUUGGAAACUGUCGUACUAGAGUGUCGGAGGGGUAAGUGGAAUUCCUAGUGUAGCGGUGAAAUGCGUAGAUAUUAGGAGGAACACCAGUGGCGAAGGCGGCUUACUGGACUGUAACUGACACUGAGGCUCGAAAGCGUGGGGAGCAAACAGGAUUAGAUACCCUGGUAGUCCACGCCGUANACGAUGAAUACUAGGUGUCGGGGCNCAUAAGAGCUUCGGUGCCGCAGCAAACGCAAUAAGUAUUCCACCUGGGGAGUACGUUCGCAAG